rnacentral:sRNA from 1 species
UGUCACCGACCCUACCGCUUGCCCGCUCCCCGGUCACGGCACCAACCCGAUCGCCGCCGGUUCCGGCGACGU